CUCGAGUGAACUGUGGUUAAGGAACUCGGCAAAUUGCCCCCGUAACUUCGGGAGAAGGGGGACCACGAUUGGUGAUGGAAUUUACUUCCGGAGCUGGUGGUGGUCGCAGAGACCAGAGAGAAGCGACUGUUUACUAAAAACGCAGGUCCGUGCGAAGUCGUAAGACGAUGUAUACGGACUGACGCCUGCCCGGUGCUGGAAGGUUAAGAGGACCGGUUAAUCAACUUUGUUGGUGAAGCUGAGAAUUUAAGCCCCAGUAAACGGCGGUGGUAACUAUAACCAUCCUAAGGUAGCGAAAUUCCUUGUCGGGUAAGUUCCGACCUGCACGAAUGGCGUAACGACUUCUCUGCUGUCUCAACCACAGGCUCGGCGAAAUUGCAGUACGAGUAAAGAUGCUCGUUACGCGCGGCAGGACGAAAAGACCCCGGGACCUUCACUAUAGCUUGGUAUUGGUGUUCGGUGCGGUUUGUGUAGGAUAGGUGGGAGACUGUGAAGCUGGCACGCUAGUGUUGGUGGAGUCGUUGUUGAAAUACCACUCUGAUCGUAUUGGGCUUCUAACCUCGGACCCUGAUCGGGUUCAGGGACAGUGCCUGGUGGGUAGUUUAACUGGGGCGGUUGCCUCCUAAAGAGUAACGGAGGCGCCCAAAGGUUCCCUCAGCCUGGAUGGCAAUCAGGUGUUGAGUGUAAGUGCACAAGGGAGCUUGACUGUGAGACGUACAUGUCGAGCAGGGACGAAAGUCGGGACUAGUGAUCCGGCACCGGCAAGUGGAAGCGGUGUCGCUCAACGGAUAAAAGGUACCCCGGGGAUAACAGGCUGAUCUUCCCCAAGAGUCCAUAUCGACGGGAUGGUUUGGCACCUCGAUGUCGGCUCGUCGCAUCCUGGGGCUGGAGUAGGUCCCAAGGGUUGGGCUGUUCGCCCAUUAAAGCGGCACGCGAGCUGGGUUUAGAACGUCGUGAGACAGUUCGGUCUCUAUCCGCCGCGCGCGUCUAGAAACUUGAGGAAACCUGUCCCUAGUACGAGAGGACCGGGACGGACGAACCUCUGGUGUGCCAGUUGUUCCGCCAGGAGCACUGCUGGUUAGCUACGUUCGGAAGGGAUAACCGCUGAAAGCAUCUAAGCGGGAAGCCUGUUCCAAGAUGAGGUUUCUCACCUGCCUUCGGGUGGGGUAAGGCCCCCUACAGACUAUGGGGUUGAUAGGCCAGAACUGUAAGCAUAGUAAUGUGUUCAGGUGACUGGUACUAAUAGGCCGAGGACUUACCU
rnacentral:rRNA from 1 species